rnacentral:rRNA from 1 species
UACGGAGGGUGCAAGCGUUAUCCGGAUUCACUGGGUUUAAAGGGUGCGUAGGUGGGCAGGUAAGUCAGUGGUGAAAUCUCCGGGCUUAACCCGGAAAUGGCAUUGAAUACUAUUGAGCUGGAGGUUUGGAGGGGGGACUGGAAUUCUCGGUGUAGCAGUGAAAUGCGUAGAUAUCGAGAGGAACACCAGUGGCGAAGGCGAGUCCCUGGACAACACCUGACACUGAGGCACGAAAGCUAGGGGAGCAAACAGG